AGUCGUCACGGCGACUAUAAAAAAGGACUUUAAGCCGUGAGCGUGUCGGCGGUUCUGCUGCCGGCGGUAG
rnacentral:ribozyme from 1 species